CGCACGAGCGCACCCCCUAUCCUUAUUUGCCAGCACGUAAUGGUGGGAACUCUAGGGAGACUGCCGGUGAUAAACCGGAGGAAGGUGGGGACGACGUCAAGUCAUCAUGGCCCUUACGAGUAGGGCUACACACGUGCUACAAUGGCGUAUACAGAGGGUUGCAAAGCCGCGAGGUGGAGCUAAUCUCACAAAGUACGUCGUAGUCCGGAUCGGAGUCUGCAACUCGACUCCGUGAAGUCGGAAUCGCUAGUAAUCGUGGAUCAGAAUGCCACGGUGAAUACGUUCCCGGGCCUUGUACACACCGCCCGUCACACCAUGGGAGUGGGCUGCAAAAGAAGUGGGUAGUUUAACCUUCGGGAGAACGCUCACCACUUUGUGGUUCAUGACUGGGGUGAAGUCGUAACAAGGUAGCCCUAGGGGAACCUGGGGCUGGAUCACCUCCUU
rnacentral:rRNA from 1 species